GGUACAGAGAGCAGCCACUACGCGAGUAGGAGCGAAUCUAUAAAACCGGUCUCAGUUCGGAUCGCAGUCUGCACCUCGACUGCGUGAAGCUGGAAUCGCUAGUAAUCGCAUAUCAGCCAUGAUGCGGUGAAUACGUUCCCGGGCCUUGUACACACCGCCCGUCAAGCCAUGGAAGCUGGGGGUACCUGAAGUCGGUGACCGAAAGGAGCUGCCUAGGGUAAAACUAGUGACUGGGGCUAAGUCGUAACAAGGUAGCCGUACCGGAAGGUGCGGCUGGAACACCUCCUUUCUAGAGACAUUUGUUUGUUUACAAACAAAUAGAAAGACGACGAAAUUGACCUUUACUUAUGAAGUUCUACUUUGCUGUUAUUUUCAAUUAUUUUUUGAGACAGUCUCGUAGCUCAGCUGGUUAGAGCGCUACACUGAUAAUGUAGAGGUCGGCAGUUCGAGCCUGCCCGAGACUACGAUACGGAAAGUCUGGAAGCUGAAUGCUGCUCCAAAAUAGGAACUUGUUUCAGGUUUCAGCUUAUGGGGGAUUAGCUCAGCUGGCUAGAGCGCUUGAUUUGCAUUCAAGAGGUCAUCGGUUCGACUCCGAUAUUCUCCACGAUAAACACUUUAUAAAGUAAAAAUUAAACUUCAGUAGGUUUGUAGUUUUUACCUCCACUAAGUAAAACUUUUAAAGUAUAGUUGAAUUUAGGUUUUUAAAUGGUUAAUUUAAAUAACUCUAAAAGAACUAAUUUUUAUUAAACGUUCAUUGACAUAUUGAGUAAUAUACAAUCAAAUUUAUAAGGUAUAAGCACACAAUCGAGCCGAUUGUGGAGCUUGUACGAGCAAUUAGUAACAAUUUCAUAUAAAGAGAAAUAAUCGUUACAGUAGGUUAAUUAAGAGCUUAUGGGGAAUGUCUAGGCUCACAGAGGCGAUGAAGGACGUGAUAAGCUGCGAUAAGCUGCGGGGAAUG
rnacentral:misc_RNA from 1 species